rnacentral:rRNA from 1 species
UACGUAGGGGGCUAGCGUUGUCCGGAAUCAUUGGGCGUAAAGCGCGUGUAGGCGGUCCGGUAAGUCCGCUGUGAAAGUCGGGGGCUCAACCCUCGGAUGCCGGUGGAUACUGUCGGGCUUGAGUACGGAAGAGGCGAGUGGAAUUCUCGGUGUAGCGGUGAAAUGCGUAGAUAUCGAGAGGAACACCAAUGGCGAAGGCAGCUCGCUGGGACGGUACUGACGCUGAGACGCGAAAGCGUGGGGAGCGAAUGGG